rnacentral:rRNA from 1 species
AGAAGAUGUUGGGCAGGGUGUCGCGGAAUGAAGAGGGGGGUGAGAGGUGUUAGGAAGGACGUGGGGUGAAGCGAACGGAGGAGGGGUGGCAUGUCAGAGGUGAAAGCCGGGGGCGAAAAUCGAGAAUUGCCUUGGAAACGGGAACGCGUGGGUCCGAGAGAGGAUGGCGGAAUUCCGAGUGUAGAGGGGAAAGUCGUAGAUAUUAGGAAGAACACCGGGGGCGAAGGCGGCCAUCUGGCUCGGUACUGACGCUCAGGUUCGAAAGCGUGGGGAGCAAACAGGAUUAGAUACCCAGUAGUC